UCUCCGUAGGUGAACCUGCGGAGGGAUCAUUACAGAGUUCAUGCCCUACCGGGUAGAUCUCCCACCCUAUGUUAUUAUUACUUUGUUGCUUUGGCGGGCCGUUAGGCUCCGGCCCGACUACCGGCCCCGGCUGGUAAGCGCCCGCCAGAGGACCCAAAACCCUGAAUAUUAGUGUCGUCUGAGUACUAUAUAAUAGUUAAAACUUUCAACAACGGAUCUCUUGGCUCUC
rnacentral:misc_RNA from 1 species